CGGCGGACGGGUGAGUAACGCGUGGGUAACCUGCCUCAUACAGGGGGAUAACAGUUAGAAAUGACUGCUAAUACCGCAUAAGACCACAGCACCGCAUGGUGCGGGGGUAAAAACUCCGGUGGUAUGAGAUGGACCCGCGUCUGAUUAGCUGGUUGGUAAGGUAGCGGCUUACCAAGGCGACGAUCAGUAGCCGACCUGAGAGGGUGACCGGCCACAUUGGGACUGAGACACGGCCCAA
rnacentral:rRNA from 1 species